AUCAAAUGUGGCCGUCCUUGGGAUUUACAGCAAUUAGCGAAUUACGGGAGUGCGCACGAGGCUGCAAGUUCUCCGCAGCCCGGCUGGGCUCGGCUCCGGCUCGGCCUAAGGCUGGGCACUCCGCUGCCGCAGCUGACUUGCAGGUGUGUUCUAAGAGCGUGAGGUCCUGGAGGCUCCACGAACCCUGGAGCGCCUCCGGGCUUGCCCAGAUCUUCCUGGCUCCUCUGUAGCUGCUCCAGUCCGAAGAAAACCCCUGGCUGUCGCGUUCCCUGGAGCCACGACUUUGUGGGGCCUAGGCUUGGGGGGAGGAGGAAUUCUGCCCAGACUCUCCAGCAGUUGGUAGCAGGCAGGCUUUCUCCUGUGUCGCCUGGAAAAGUUGCAAAAUUGCUCUUCACCUGUAAGAACAUGCUUUUUUAUCUUCCAGUCUCUUCUUGUCAAUUUGGAAAUUGCAGACAGCCCGGCUCAGGCAUUAAGAGAAAUUGAUUAGUGACAAGGAAGAGAAGAAAACAUUGCUGGUCAGUAGGCCACGGUAUUCAAGUCCCUCAGAUAAAUGGCUCCUGGGAGGAGAGAACACAUCCAAUGUAAUCCUGACGUAUGCAGAAUUGAGUUCGGUUUGAACCCAGCCAUCAAGGGAUGAAAGCAUUAGGGCCAGAACUCAGGGCCACCAUCUACCAACCAGCUCCACGAUGUGUCCAGCCAUGGAAGAACCCGGUGGCUAAGCGUGAUUAUGCAACCGGUGGGCAGUGACUGAGGACAUGGUGUCCUUGGGAGCAGAGCUCCAUCCCGGGGAAAGGAAAGAGGUACGGCUUCUCCUGGGGUCGACACAUAAAGGGCAGCUCCUAUUGCUGUAAUGGUUCAGAUAUCCUUGUCACCUGUGGCAAUGGGUGGCUCUUUUCCUAGUCGUCCCUUCUACCAGAGGUCAAGAGUGUUGGCUUAUUUCCAGUGUCAUUUCAAUGUGCUUCACAGGAACUCCAAGUCUCUGUCUUCCCUUCUUAUGUGGAUGCUAAAUGGCUUGUCUUUGCUCGUGAUACUGUGUCAGGAAGCAGAAGGGAAGGUCCCUUUUUGUGCCUGAGCUGUUUGUACACCUGCCAUCCCCCAGCAGGGACUGAGGACUCCGGGCAGAGCCGGAAAAUGGCAAAAAAAAAGGUUGUUACUGACUUCUCUUCCGGGGCUUUUCCUCUCUGGCCCCCUGUCCUUUGGAGCAUCCUGUUUCCCGUUCCUCAUAGGUCUGGCCGUCCCGAGUGCUCGGAGGUCUUUUGGAGACUUGUCUUUGUGUGGUUAUGCUUUGCGUGGAAAUCUAACUCACCAGUGCCUCUGCACUGCCCAGAGUGUCCAGGUGACAAUUAGCUAAUCUGAUAAGCUCAUUCAUGCUAAUGUGCUAAUGAAAGAGGACUACAGAAGAUGGCUGUCCCUCUUCUUUUCCUGCCAGGUGACAUAUGUGAAUAGCAGCAGUGAGCUUCUAGGGACCAUGACCCGGCUUUAGUGGUCUAGCCUAGAGGAUUGAUGUUAACAGAAUGAGAUGUUUUUUCCUUGUAAGUAAGGAAGACAGCUAAGUUGAAGGAGGUAAAAGAGGGUCAGUGUCAGAGCAGAAUGACCCCAGACCACGACCCGGCAGUGUCUCCUUUCAUACCCAAACAACAAAAAAUAUUUAUCAGAAUAUCCCUUGGCUCUAUUAACCUUCCGAGUACCGGAAAGCACAAGGCACUCUCGUGUUACACCUGUAAUCUCGGCACUUGGGGGUUGGAACAGGAAGAUGAGGAGUUCAAGGUUAACGUUGGCAACACGGAACUCAAGAUCCGUCUGUACGACUCGAGAGUCUGUCGGAAAAGAGAGGGAAGGAGCUGGAGGGAUGGCUCCUAGCCAUCUUGGCUGUUCUUCCAGAGAACCUGGGUUCUGUCAGCACUCAAAAGGUAGCCCACAAAUGUAACUCCAGUUCCAGGGAAUCUGACACUCUCCCAGAGACACAAUGCUGGCAAAACACCAAUGCACAUAAAAUAAAAACAAAUCAUUAAAUAAAAAAAAAAAAAAGGAAGGAAGGAAGAAAAGAAACCCAAGAGCAAACAAGAAACAGGACUCAGCAGAACCCAAGUCAUAUUUGGUACAUUGUUAAACGCCUUGAAUUUUUUUUUUUCUUUUGCUAAUCCCCUGGAGGAAGCCUUUUGGGGACCAACAGAAACAUGAUAAGCCCUCAAUUAGAGCCUAAAACAUGAAAGAUUGUCUUCUCUCGGGGCAGAGAGGAGCUUGUCACUGCUGUCUCCUGCUUAUUGACUGGGUGGCUCAAAGUUAUGAAGAAGGGCCCUGAGCUACGGUGCAAAGGUUAAGCACACUCUGCUGGUUCCACCACACCACUGAGCCCCAUAUGUGCCCAGAAAAAGAUUACUCAAAUCCAAGGCCAAGAGGAUGGAUUAGUGGGUAAAAUGCUCGCAGUACCAGCACGAAGACCUGAAUUUGGGUCCCAAUACCCAGGUAAAAGUCAGACACAAAGGUGAUCAAUUAUAUCCCAGAGUUGUGGCUCCCUGCCCAGUCAGUAUAACCGGCUGGUAAACUCCAAGUUCAGUGCCUCAAAGAAAAAGAAAAAUUGUGGAGGGUAAUAGAGGAAGACGCUACCUUAGCACCUGGCCUCCACACGUGUCUGCGUUAGGUUUGUAUUACUGUCAUAAAGACAGUGAUCAAGGGCUGGAGAGAUGGCUCAGUGGUUAAGAGCACUGGCUGCUCUUCCAGAGGUCCUGAGUUCAAAUCCCAGCACCCACAUGGUGGCUCACAACCAUCUGUAAUGAAAUCCGAUGCUUCUCUUCUGGUUUGUCUGACGACAGCUGCAGUGUACUUCUAUAUAAUAAAUAAAUAAAUCUUUAAAACAAUAAAAAAAAAGCCAUGUUGGGGAAGAAAGGGUUAUUUCAGUUUAUUGCUUGUAGUCUGUCCGAGGGAAGGAAGGGCAGGAAUUCAAGGCAAGAAGCUGAAGGUGGGAAUAAAAGAUGAGGUCAGGAGGAAGUGAUGCUUACUGCCUUGUUCUGUCAAGUUGACAAAAACAAACAAACAACAACCCCCCCUCAACAAAACAAAGCAUUGUAUAUAGGUGUGUGUCCACACACACAUUUUAAUUUAAAAAAUGGAAUAAUAAUAAUAAAAACAACGAAACACAUCCGGGUCCAUGAUGAUGACUUCUUUAUGUCCACGUUUUUUGCCAAGUGAAUG
ensembl:lncRNA